UACGGAGGGAGCUAGCGUUGUUCGGAAUUACUGGGCGUAAAGCGCACGUAGGCGGCUUUGUAAGUUAGAGGUGAAAAGCCUGGAGCUCAACUCCAGAAUAGCCUUUAAGACUGCAUCGCUUGAAUCCAGGAGAGGUGAGUGGAAUUCCGAGUGUAGAGGUGAAAUUCGUAGAUAUUCGGAAGAACACCAGUGGCGAAGGCGGCUCACUGGACUGGUAUUGACGCUGAGGUGCGAAAGCGUGGGGAGCAAACAGGG
rnacentral:rRNA from 1 species